rnacentral:rRNA from 1 species
AUGGAUAGGCAAGGCAUUUCAUCUCCGGUCUUCGACAACAACGACGACGCGAACAACUACAUCACCAAAGCGUCCAUCUUCGGUCUACAACAACAAAUGCAAGGCGCACAUUCUACCUUGCGAGAGUGCAUCAAGAACCUCUCCAUCGACAUUCGUCACUCCAAAGCAAGGAAACAUCGACAAGAAGCUUUCCGCACAAAAAGAGGAGCAAGAUGCAAGAAUGGAGGAGAUUCAUGCCUUAAUCAAGUCUACUUCCCCUUCGUCAUCUUCAAGGCGACGACGAGCAAGUCGAUCAUCUUUGGAGCGCCCAAGCAAUGCAAGCGCAAUUCGUCAACGUCAACAUCUACAUGGCGACCACCAUCACGUUCUUGA